rnacentral:rRNA from 1 species
AUUGAACGCUGGCGGCAGGCCUAACACAUGCAAGUCGGACGGUAGCACAGAGAGCUUGCUCUUGGGUGACGAGUGGCGGACGGGUUAGUAAUGUCUGGGGAUCUGCCCGAUAGAGGGGGAUAACCACUGGAAACGGUGGCUAAUACCGCAUAACGUCGCAAGACCAAAGAGGGGGACCUUCGGGCCUCUCACUAUCGGUUGAACCCAGAUGGGAUUAGCUAGUAGGCGGGGUAAUGGCCCACCUAGGCGAAGAUCCCUAGCUGUUCUGAGAGGAUGACAGGCCAGACUGGAAAUAAGACACGGUCCAGACUGCUACGGCAGGCAGCAGUGGGGAAUAUUGCGAAAUGGGCGCAAGCCGGAGGCAGCCAUGCCGCGUGUAUGAAGAAGGCCUUAGGGUGGUAAAGUACUUUCAGCGGGGAGGAAGGCGGUGAGGUUAAUAACCUUGCCGAUUGACGUUACCCGCAGAAGAAGCACCGGCUAACUCCGUGCCAGCCGCCGCCGUAA